AUGGCCUGGCUCAGCUGGGAGAAGAUGAUCCUACCCAAGGAUAUGGGGGGCAUGGGGUUUAGAGACAUGCGUGCCUUCAACCAGGCGUUACUCGCGAAACAGGCUUGGAGAUUACUGCACAGCCCGGACAGUCUAUGUGCUCGCCUACUACGAGCAAAGUACUACCCAAACGGUAAUAUUUUGGAUACGGUAUUCCCGUCCAGCUCUUCUGCAGUCUGGAAAGGAAUCACUCAUGGCCUGGAUCUGUUGAAAAAGGGCUUGAUCUGGAGAGUUGGAAAUGGCACAAUGAUUAGAACAUGGAGGGAUCCAUGGAUACCCAGGAGGCAUGAUUUCAAACCAAUAACU
rnacentral:rRNA from 1 species